rnacentral:rRNA from 1 species
CGUAGGGGGCUAGCGUUGUCCGGAUUUAUUGGGCGUAAAGCGCGUGUAGGCGGCCAGAUAGGUCUGCUGUGAAAACUCGAGGCUCAACCUCGAGCUGUCGGCGGAAACCAUCCGGCUAGAGUCCGGAAGAGGAGAGUAGAAUUCCCGGUGUAGCGGUGAAAUGCGCAGAUAUCGGGAAGAACACCUGUGGCGAAGGCGGCUCUCUGGGACGGUACUGACGCUGAGACGCGAAAGCGUGGGGAGCAAACAGGAUUAGAUACCCUGGUAGUCCACGCCGUAAACGAUGGGUGCUAGGUGUGGGGAGUGUCGACUCUCUCCGUGCCGAAGCUAACGCAUUAAGGACCCCGCCUGGGGAGUACGGCCGCAAGGCUA